AGGGACGAAGGCUGCUAAGUGUUGCUAGCUGGUGUCUAAGUAAAUGAAGAUGAAAGAGGAAGCCAGAGAGAGCAGGAAUUAGAAAACCUGUACAACUGGGAGACUUUCUGUCUCAGAAGAAGCUCUGACUCCACCAGAUAACCAACCAGCUCUAAGAAUGAACCUCCACAUCGUCUUCAUGAUGUAAGUUUGUUUUUUCAAUGAGGAGGUAGCUACAUUUUCAAC